CUCUCUGGCUCUCCUCACAGAGUAUGUACAGGAUUUGGGUCCCUGUUUGAACCCGGAGCUCUUUAUCUGCAAUCAGAAGUUCCAGUGGGCUGACUACAUGUGGGAAAGACCAUGUGAUCUGAGUUUAUGUAACAGGCCCUGUGCAACAGCCAAAGGGUUGAGGGGAAGUCAGCAAAAGAGAACCCAGCAUGGACCUGGCAGCCAAGGCACUGGAAGAAGUCACUUCAUGGGACUUAACAGUUUCAUCACAGAUAAUUCCCAAGGAACCCAGGAGGAACUUACAGCUGGUCCAUUAUGAUAUGUGUGAAAUCUUCAGAUCAUCAUAAUCAGGGGAAGAAAAAAGAAACAAGAUCCCUGAAUGAAGAAGAACCCAUUUUACAGAACACAGGACAGAUCUUGGAGGACAGUGGAUGUAGUAAGUUGUAUUAAUGUAAUUAAACAUUAAUUCUGGGUUCUGGGUACAUGGCUCAGUCUAAGAGUCCUUGCUACACAAGCAUGAUGAUCUGAGUUUGAAUUCACAGAGUUCAUGUAAAAAGCCAUGUAUGGCCACACAAACUUGUAACUCUAGUGCUGUCUAGGAUAGAGAUGAAAAGAUUGUUUAGGCUUCCAGCCCAGUUCCAAGUUCAGUAAAGAACCCUGUCUUUAGAGCUCCACAAGAAGACCAAUACAGCCAAAAAAUCUGGGCCCAGGGACCCAGCAGAAACCAACCAAGGACCAUGCAUGGAGAGAACCUAGACACCUUGCUCAGAUGUAGCCCAUAGGCAGCUCAGUCUUCAUGUGGGUUCCCUAGUAAGGGGAGCAGGGGCUAUCUCUGACAUGAACUCAAUUACCUGCUCUUUUAUCAUUUCCUCAAGGUGGAGUGACCUUGCCUGCUCACAGAGGAAGAGGAUCCAAGCAGUCCUGAUGAGACUUAAUAGGCUAGAGCCAAAAGGCAAGGGAGGAAGACUUCCCCUUUCAGUGGACUAGGGGAGGGGGUGGGGGAAUAGGAAGGGAGAGGAAGAAGA
rnacentral:lncRNA from 1 species